rnacentral:rRNA from 1 species
UACGUAGGGGGCAAGCGUUGUCCGGAAUCAUUGGGCGUAAAGCGCGCGUAGGCGGCUCUGUAAGUCCGUUGUGAAAGUCAAAGGCUCAACCUUUGAAAGCCGAUGGAUACUGCAGAGCUAGAGUCCGGAAGAGGCGAGUGGAAUUCCUGGUGUAGCGGUGGAAUGCGCAGAUAUCAGGAGGAACACCAAUAGCGAAGGCAGCUCGCUGGGACGGUACUGACGCUAAGGCACGAAGGCCAGGGGAGCAAACGGG